rnacentral:rRNA from 1 species
GAUGAACGCUGGCGGCGUGCCUAAUACAUGCAAGUCGAGCGAACGGACGAGAAGCUUGCUUUUCUGAUGUUAGCGGCGGACGGGUGAGUAACACGUGGAUAACCUACCUAUAAGACUGGGAUAACUUCGGGAAAACCGGAGCUAAUACCGGAUAAUAUUUUGAACCGCAUGGUUCAAAAGUGAAAGACGGUCUUGCUGUCACUUAUAGAUGGAUCCGCGCUGCAUUAGCUAGUUGGUAAGGUAACGGCUUACCAAGGCAACGAUGCAUAGCCGACCUGAGAGGGUGAUCGGCCACACUGGAACUGAGACACGGUCCAGACUCCUACGGGAGGCAGCAGUAGGGAAUCUUCCGCAAUGGGCGAAAGCCUGACGGAGCAACGCCGCGUGAGUGAUGAAGGUCUUCGGAUCGUAAAACUCUGUUAUUAGGGAAGAACAUAUGUGUAAGUAACUGUGCACAUCUUGACGGUACCUAAUCAGAAAGCCACGGCUAACUACGUG